rnacentral:rRNA from 1 species
UACGAAGGGGGCUAGCGUUGCUCGGAAUCACUGGGCGUAAAGCGCACGUAGGCGGAUCUUUAAGUCAGGGGUGAAAUCCCGAGGCUCAACCUCGGAACUGCCCUUGAUACUGGGGAUCUCGAGUCCGGAAGAGGUUGGUGGAACUCCGAGUGUAGAGGUGAAAUUCGUAGAUAUUCGGAAGAACACCAGUGGCGAAGGCGGCCAACUGGUUCGGCACUGACGCUGAGGUGCGAAAGCGUGGGGAGCAAACAGG